rnacentral:rRNA from 1 species
UACGAAGGACCCGAGCGUUAUCCGGAUUUAUUGGGCUUAAAGGGUGCGUAGGCGGAUUAGUAAGUCAGUGGUGAAAGCCCAUCGCUUAACGGUGGAAUUGCCAUUGAUACUGCUAGUCUUGAGUAUGGUUGAGGUGGGCGGAAUGUGUCAUGUAGCGGUGAAAUGCUUAGAUAUGACCCAGAACACCAAUUGCGAAGGCAGCUCGCUAAACCAUAACUGACGCUGAUGCACGAAAGCGUGGGGAGCAAACAGG